AGCUCCAAUAGCGUAUAUUAAAGUUGUUGCAGUUAAAAAGCUCGUAGUUGGAUUUGUGGUUGAGCUGUCCGGUCCGACACUUUUGUGUGGGUACUUGGACGGCUCGUCCAUCCUUGGGUGGAAUCUGUGUGGCAUUAGGUUGUCGUGCAGGGGAUGCCCAUCUUUUACUGUGAAAAAAUUAGAGUGUUCAAAGCAGGCUUAGGCCGUUGGAUACAUUAGCAUGGAAUAAUGAGAUAGGGCCACCGCGGUCUAUUUUGUUGGUUUGCACGUUGUGGUAAUGAUUAACAGGAACGGUUGGGGGUAUUCGUAUUCAAUUGUCAGAGGUGAAAUUCUUGGAUUUGUGGAAGACGAACUACUGCGAAAGCAUUUACCAAGGAUGUUUUCAUUAAUCAAGAACGAA
rnacentral:rRNA from 1 species